rnacentral:rRNA from 1 species
GUGGGGAAUAUUGGACAAUGGGGGGAACCCUGAUCCAGCCAUGCCGCGUGUGUGAAGAAGGCCUUUUGGUUGUAAAGCACUUUAAGCGAGGAGGAGGCUACCGAGAUUAAUACUCUUGGAUAGUGGACGUUACUCGCAGAAUAAGCACCGGCUAACUCUGUGCCAGCAGCCGCGGUAAUACAGAGGUUGCGAGCGUUAAUCGGAUUUACUGGGCGUAAAGCGUGCGUAGGCGGCUUUUUACGUCGGAUGUGAAAUCCCCGAGCUUAACUUGGGAAUUGCAUUCGAUACUGGGAAGCUAGAGGAUGGGAGAGGAUGGUAGAAUUCCAGGUGUAGCGGUGAAAUGCGUAGAGAUCUGGAGGAAUACCGAUGGCGAAGGCAGCCAUCUGGCCUAAUACUGACGCUGAGGUACGAAAGCAUGGGGAGCAAACAGGAUUAGAAACCCGUGUAGUCC